UGAGUACGAGAUGCUACGGCAUCGAAGCAGUCUAUGUCAUACUUCCAAGAAAAGCUUGCACUGUCAUAAACAAAGAAUGCCUGUACCAUAACCGACACAGGUGGGUAGGUAGAGUAUAUUAAGGGGCGCGAGAUAACUCUCUCUAAGGAACUCGGCAAAUGACUCCGUAACUUCGGGAGAAGGAGUGCCUUAUUUCUAAGGUUGCAAUAACAAGAUCCAAGCAACUGUUUACCAAAACCACAGGUCUCCGCUAAGUCGUAAGACGAUGUAUGGGGGCUGACGCCUGCCCAGUGCCAGAAGGUUAAAGAAGUUGGUUAGCAUUAGCGAAGCUGAUAACUGAAGCCCUGGUGAACGGCGGCCGUAACAAUAACGGUCCUAAGGUAGCGAAAUUCCUUGUCGGGUAAGUUCCGACCCGCACGAAAGGCGUAAUGAUUUGGAUACUGUCUCGGAGAGGGGCUCGGUGAAAUAGACUUGUCUGUGAAGAUGCGGACUACCUGCACCUGGACAGAAAGACCCUAUGAAGCUUUACUGUAACUUGAGAUUGAAAUUGGACUUUAUUUGCGCAGUAUAGGUGGGAGGCGUUGAGAAUAAUCUUGCGGGAUUGUUGGAGCCAUCAGUGAGAUACCACUCUUGUAAUGUUAGAUUUCUAACUUUGUAUCAUUAUCUGGUCAAAGAACAGUUUCAGGCGGGCAGUUUGACUGGGGCGGUCGCCUCCCAAAGGGUAACGGAGGCGCACAAAGGUUUCCUCUGAACGGGUAGAAAUCGUAUCUAGAGUGUAAAGGCAUAAGGAAGCUUGACUGUGAGACCUACAAGUCGAGCAGGGACGAAAGUCGGUCUUAGUGAUCUGACGGUGCAGAGUGGAAAGGCCGUCACUCAACGGAUAAAAGUUACUCUAAGGAUAACAGGCUGAUCUCCCCCAAGAGUUCACAUCGACGGGGAGGUUUGGCACCUCGAUGUCGGCUCAUCGCAUCCUGGGGCGGUAGUCCGUCCCAAGGGUUGGGCUGUUCGCCCAUGAAAGCGGUACGCGAGCUGGGUUCAGAACGUCGUGAGACAGUUCGGUCCAUAUCCGGUGUAGGCGUUAGAAUAUUGAGAGGAGCCUUCUCUAGUACGAGAGGACCGAGAAGGACAUACCUCUGGUGUACCAGUUAUCGUGCCAACGGUAAACGCUGGGUAGCUAUGUAUGGAGUGGAUAACCGCUGAAAGCAUCUAAGUGGGAAGCCCACCUCAAGAUAAGUAUUCUCAUC
rnacentral:rRNA from 1 species